rnacentral:rRNA from 1 species
GACGAACGCUGGCGGCGUGCCUAACACAUGCAAGUCGAGCGGGAACCUCAGGAGGGGUAACCCUUCCGAGGGGAGAGCGGCGAACGGGUGAGUAACACGUGGGCAACCUGCCCCGGACACCGGGAUAACCCAGGGAAACCUGAGCUAAUACCGGAUACUCCGGCGCGAUCGCAUGGUCGCGCCGGGAAAGCUCCGACGGUCCGGGAUGGGCCCGCGGCCUAUCAGCUUGUUGGUGGGGUAACGGCCCACCAAGGCGACGACGGGUAGCUGGUCUGAGAGGACGGCCAGCCACACUGGGACUGAGACACGGCCCAGACUCCUACGGGAGGCAGCAGUGGGGGAUCUUGCGCUAAUGCGCGAAAGCGUGACGCAGCGACGCCGCGUGGGGAUGAAGGCCUUCGGGUUGUAAACCCCUUUCGGCAGGGACGAAGGGAAACUGACGGUACCUGCAGAAGAAGUCCCGGCUAACUACGUGC